AUGACUCUGACCUGCGUCCUCAUCUGGACUCUCCUCUGCUGCUGCUUCACAGAGUCCAGAGGCCAAGUCACAGUGACUCAGCCUGGAGCAGUGAGAUCAGCUGUGGGAAACUCCGCCACCAUCUCAUGCAGAACCAGUCAGAAUGUUUAUAGCUCAAACUAUUUAGCCUGGUACCAACAGAGAGAUGGAGAAACUCCUAAACUGCUCAUUUACUUGGCUUCCACUCGAGCAUCAGGGAUUCCAGGUCGUUUUACAGGCAGUGGAUCAAACUCUGACUUCACUCUGACCAUCAGUGGAGUCCAGGCUGAAGAUGCUGCAGUUUACUACUGUCAGAGUCUUCACUACAUCAACAGUCAGUGGGUGUUCACACAGUGAAAAAGCGUCGUACAAAAACCUCCGUCAGCUGAAGAGGAACUGAUCUGACUCAUCAGCUGCACAGAAACUCACACAUGAAGUAAAUAAAACCAAAGUAU